UACGAAGGGGGCUAGCGUUGCUCGGAAUCACUGGGCGUAAAGCGCACGUAGGCGGAUUGUUAAGUCAGGGGUGAAAUCCUGGAGCUCAACUCCAGAACUGCCUUUGAUACUGGCGAUCUUGAGUCCGGGAGAGGUGAGUGGAACUGCGAGUGUAGAGGUGAAAUUCGUAGAUAUUCGCAAGAACACCAGUGGCGAAGGCGACUUUCUAGUUUAUACCUGACGCUGAGGCGCGAAAGCAAGGGGAUCAAACAGG
rnacentral:rRNA from 1 species